ensembl:lncRNA
GCCAACCAGAGAGAUGCUGGCCUUGUUCAGUACAGACAUGUAUGACAAGGACCAAGAGGGCGAAGGAUUUUAAAGCGUCUAAACAAAAGACAUUGGAAAUUGUAAAUAGUUCCAUUUCAAGGAGUUUUUCUCUUCUUUUCUUUUUUUAGUCAAACAGGCAGGGAGGAAGAGAGAAAAGGGAGGAGAAAGCCUAAAGACAAAGCAACAGGCAACUGUGCUUUUCGCUGCACUCGCCCAACACUCUCACUCCCUCAUCAGUGACUCAGCAUCAGGGAGCUGCAGCUGACCUUCUGACUCAAGACAACAAAUACACAUACAGUCGCUCGAGCCACACCAUUUCCUAAAAUCCGAACACUUCCACUUCCCCCAGAGUAUGCAAGUACACAGUGUGGCUUUGAGCAACAUCAUCCCACAUCCUCUGACUCACACACUACUGGUCUUCUCAGAGAAAGGCAAAACUCCCACCACAAACCUGUUCUGUAGGCCAAAGAAUGCAAUUUAGGAUGAGCUUCCAAGAAUCAGACACUGCUAAUGCCAG